rnacentral:rRNA from 1 species
UACGUAGGGGGCAAGCGUUGUUCGGAUUUAUUGGGCGUAAAGAGCGUGUAGGCGGUCAGGUAGGUCCGUUGUGAAAACUCGAGGCUCAACCUCGAGACGCCGAUGGAAACCAUCUGACUAGAGUCCGGAAGAGGAGAGUGGAAUUCCUGGUGUAGCGGUGAAAUGCGCAGAUAUCAGGAAGAACACCCGUGGCUAAGGCGGCUCUCUAGUACGGUACUGACGCUGAGACGCGAAAGCGUGGGGAGCGAACAGG